GACGUAGGGCGCGAGCGUUGUCCGGAUUUAUUGGGCGUAAAGAGCUCGUAGGCGGCUUGUCGCGUCGUCCGUGAAAACCUGCGGCUCAACUGCAGGCUGGCGGUCGAUACGGGCAGGCUGGAGUUCGGUAGGGGAGACUGGAAUUCCUGGUGUAGCGGUGAAAUGCGCAGAUAUCAGGAGGAACACCGGUGGCGAAGGCGGGUCUCUGGGGCCGAUACUGAC
rnacentral:rRNA from 1 species